CGACCUCAGAUCAGGCGGGACUACCCGCCGGAUUUAAGCAUAUUAAUAAGCGGAGGAAAAGAAAACAACCGUGAUUCCCCCAGUAGCGGCGAGCGAACAGGGAAAAGCCCAUCGCCGAAUCCCGCCGCGCACUUUUGUGUCGCGGCACGUAUGGGAGUUGUGGCGUACGGGCCGGCCUCGUUGCCGGGGCGCACGUGACGGUCCAAGUCUCCCUUGAACGGGGCCAUGGCCCGCAGAUGGUGCCAGGCCAGUAGAGGCCGUCACAGCGUUCCGGGGAUCGGGACCGCGCCUUCGAGUCGGGUUGCUUGAGAGUGCAGCCCGAAGCGGGUGGUAAACUCCAUCUAAGGCUAAAAUACGGCCACGAGACCGAUAGUGGACAAGUACCGUGAGGGGAAAAAACAAAAAGAAAAAGAAAAAGUACUCUAGCGUUGAUACCACU
rnacentral:ncRNA from 1 species